ACCUGAACGGAGAGAUGAGCGGCUUUGGCACCCCCAGCUCGGGGCAGCUGGUGGUGGGCUUUCCCCACCUCUGAGGGACUAACAGCUGCAGCCACAGAAGCAAGGUGGGGGAGAUAAGGACUCUGCAGAGGUCAAGCCAGUCAUUCCUCGGCCUCACACCAUACCAGGGUCUACCUAAGGCUACUUAAAUGGCCAUGGAAUCUCUUCUGAAAAGUUCCAGGAAGGUCUGGAAACAUUGAUUUGUUGUAAGUACUUUGAGCAAAUUAACCGCUCCCCAACUACCACAUACCCCAGUUGCUAAUCUGUAAGCCUAUAGGGUUAGACAACAGGGUCUGAAAUGUUCGGGAUUCCAGAUCCUGCCCCUUCCUCUGCUGCCCCAUCCCAUCCCAUCCCUUUUCUGCUGGCUGAGCUGGACCUCGAAACUCCUGCAGAGGGUGGCUGUGGCUUUUGUGAGGGCAGGCCUGAAGAGGGUGGGGGGUGCUCUGUCCCAGCCCCUCAGCGGUACCUGGCUGUGUGUGUGACAUGAAGCCAGGCACUUCAUGACCUGGCUCCAAAGGGGCCUCAGGGUCUCGCCAAGACUUACUCCUCAAUGCCAAUCUGCCAGUAGAGCUCCUGGGUGACCGGAGCCCAGUAGAUCUGCCCCUGGUACAGGCUGUUGUCCACACCCCCGAAGAUGACCGCUCCUCCGUUCUGAGAACCCUGCUGGCUGCAGGGGGGCAUAGGGAAAGGUGAGUCAGGGAGCAGCUGUGAGAAGGGACUUCCCUGGGAGCUGAACUUGAGUAUGGAACUGGGGCAAGCUCCUAAAGGCUACACUCGGGGUCAUUAUAAACAGAGGAAGUAAAUCAGCAAUAUUAGUAACAGGGUAGGUAAUAUGGUUGGAAAUCAGAUUCCAGUUUUCAAGCUCUGGAUGGUAGAUGCUCUCUCUUCAAGGUGGUUGGCUAAACCUCAGGGUAAGGAAGGGAAGUCCAUUCCAAGCCUCACACCCACUCCUACUGCCUGGCUCCCAGGCCCAACCACAGAACAAAUCGUGUUCGCUGUUGUUUGUGGUGAGGAUAACCACUUGUUAGGAGUUAAUGGUGUACUUUGACCAGAAUCUGGGCCUGGCUGUGGUUCCAGGACCUAGCAAGAACAACAGGCCGAAGGAGAUGAAGCGAUAGAUCGCUAUACAAAAGAAGUGUCCAGGUAGUAAGCAUUGGGUCAGAAGGAAAUGAGCUAACUGGGGACCUGGGCAGGCAGUAAACCCAAGAGGUAUUAAGAAUCAGCAGCAAUACUCGAAGCAAGCUUGGCCAGAGGAGGGAGCGAUGCUGGGGGGAGUGGGCUAGGGACAGAGGCAGGGAUGGGGGGGGGAGUCAGCAGUCCAGGAGGGAGGGCCCUGGAACAGCAUGGCUGGGGCCAAGUGCUCUCUGGGAGGCCUCCGAACCCCAAAGGAUGGAGCCUCAGUUGUCUAGGAUGAAGGAGGUGGGGAGGGGCUGGGACCUGGGGACCCCCAGGCCAUUCCUCACUUGCUGAGGUAGAAGCUGAAGACAGGGCUGGUGAGGGCGCCCUCCUGCAGCAUGCCCUGCAGGGCCGUGGUGGCCUCGCCCAUGGCCAGGGCUGGAUAGGCCAUGCCCAUGAUGCCGUCAAACUGCGCAUAGACGAAAUUGGUACCCGGUUCAUUCUCACUCAGGCCAAACUCCUGGUUGGGGACCUGGAUACUCUGGACCUGGGGGACACGGAGCAUGCACGGUGACAAGUGUAACUCCACCUACUCCCUCCCAGACAUCCCCAGAGACCCCUCAAGACUCAUUCUUCAUCCUCCUUCACCUGUCCACCUUCCUGCUUGACAGGUCUUGCAAGAGCCACUUUCUUUCCUGAAUGGCCUUCCCUGACCACUGCACCCCUUCCCAGGGGCCGGGCCAUCCCAUUCGUCACAGUGUCUUCGGUGUCCUGCACAUGAUGGCCCUUCCUGGGGGUUCACAGGUACCUAGGCACACGGUGAGUGCCGAUAAAUGACUCUCCAGGACCCCCUGCUUUCCCUAGCCCUCACCAGGUCAAGAAGCUAGCCAUUCCAAGAUCCUGAGAUCAUCGAGGGUGGGGCCAACGGGGGACCCUCUGGACUACAGGUGUGAGGACCCAAACCUCAAGGCUCUGACAGAUACCAGGGCAGCCUUAAGACAGUGAACAUCAUCUGUCUCCAAAUACGACUGCAGGAUGGGGCCCGCAUCCUGUGUUGUCCUCCUGCGUGCCUUGCAGACACUCAGUGAGAACUUAGUGAUGAAUGGAACAGAGUGGAAUGGGCUGGAGCCGAUGAAGGGAUAGGUAUUGGUGAGCAGGGAGGGCAAGGCAGAGGUGCCAGUCCCGGGACCAGCUUCCUCCCUCUGGCUUGGGCAUGCCAUGUGACCCUGGACAAGUCCCUGGUCCUCUACAGGACUGGAGCUCUCCCCAGCAAUCCCUGUGAAGACUGCCCUUCCCCCAGGGUGUCGGGGCCCUCCCCUGCCCACCGCCCUCUCUGCCCAGCCCAGCACUCACUGCAGGCCUGGCUCUGGCAGUACACAGAGGGCACCCACAGGUUGGAAGAGCCGGUAUCGAAAAGAACCAGGAAGUUCUGUGGUGGGGUCCCGAUGCUGAUCUCACCGAAGUAGGCAGCCUGGGGUGGGGUGGUGGAGCAGGCUGUUAGCUCCAGAGGGAUCUGGGACCUGCAGCCCAGCAUCCCCCAUGGGCAGAGCAGAGGACAGACCAGCUCCUGCCCUACAGCCCCCACCAGAAGCGGGGGCCUGAGCCUUCCCUUCACACUUGCCCAGAGCCCACAGCCCCUCAGCCUGCGCCUGCCCAGGGCGGCUGCAAAGGCCUGGUGGCUGAGCUGCCAGGCCAGCCAAGUCCCCUCCCAUGCUCUGUCCAGGGAAUGAGGUCUAGGCUGGCAGGUCUGAGAGAAGGGGGCAGGGGUUGAGGGGUGGGUAGGGUGGAGGGGUGCCCCUCGCUGCCCAGGCCUUGCUUUUAGCCUUUGGCAGCAGGGAGAGGGCUUUUACCCCUGGGAGGGUCAGACUCACAUCCAUGUAGGCCAUGGACUCAUAGGCCACGCUGAAGUCACUGAAAUGGUACUUCCGAGCAGGGUCGUACUUGUGGGUCUUCAGGAACUCCUCCAGUAAGCCCUUCUCCUUCAUGGUUUCACGGAUGGACUUGCCUUUCUUCAGGGGGACUCUGCGGCAGGUCUGAGCAUCAGAGCAGGGUGCCCCCUCUCCGGCAGCACCUCCAGCCCACAGCCCAGUCCCCUCUCCCCAUCUCUCGCCGAGGGCCUCAGUCUCCCUGCCGCUCCGCACCCUGUGUCCGUGGCUUGUGUUUGUCUGCGUUUCUCCCUUUCUCCAUGUGUUUCUCUCUCGGUCUCUUUCUCCGUGUCUGUCUCUGUCUCUUACUCCCUCCGCCUUUCUCUUUCUUCCCCUCUCCACCCCUUUCUUUUGAAACUCUUUUCAGGACUCGCUCCAAGUUUCAGGAAAUUGUUUCCUUCACCCUGAUGCCCCCUCCCCAUCUCAGGGGUCCUCAUCCCACCUGGCCCUCUGCUCUCGAGGGUCCCAUAGGUCCCUUCCCAGGAAGAGGUGAGGGACUCCAGGCAUUCCUCUCUGCAGGAAUGUGCAUUUUUACAAGAUUUUACAGAUGACAAGCUUCAUCCCAGGGAAAGUCCUCUCCUGUGGUGGCCGACAGGCACCUGCCACCCGCUGGCUGUGACAGAUUGUGGGUGCAGGGGAGAAGGGCUAGACGGGGGAUCGGAUGGCAGGGUCCCGGUUCUGCCUCCACUGCUAAAUGUCUGGCCUGGGGCCACCCACUGCUCUUCUGGACACAGGACCAGUGGGCAAGUCGGCCUGUGUGGUUUGGGGCCCAGGUCAGCUCUGGAAUUGGGGCUUGAGAAUUAGGGGUUUCUGCCCAUAUCACCCUGGGUUACCCCACUCCUGCCUGGGGCAGGGUGGGGGACAUUCACGCUGAGCUAUUCACAUCGAGCUUCUCUAAUCACUUCUAUAGAAUUUCAUGUUACAAGAAGUUUCUAAGAUGAUCCAUCUUAGAUGAUCCACAUAAGGAACCGCCCUAAGAGCCGAGGUGCGGCCAGUCCAGUCCUCUGGGUGUCCUGUGAGCCCUGCCCCUCACCCCCUUUCUCCUGACACCUCAGCACAUGGAGACUACAUCACUGAUGUUCCUCCUUAGGUGAUUGUAUCAUCUGCCAAAUAAGUUUGGGCCGUAAGGAAAUGUUUAGCAAAUGUCUCCCUACCCAGAGAUAAUUGUUCUUUUCCGUGAGAGGAACCACAGCUGCCAUGCAGGGUCUGCUUGAGCCAUAUGUAGACACCCCUAUUCUCUGUUUCGGGACCAUCUUUCCUCCCUUUGACUGGAUGUUUCCCUGGGGGGUGGGCAGACACUGUGUCUCCUCCCUCCUGCAAUUCCUGUCCUACCAGCUCAGGGAGCCUGUCCUGCCUCUGGCAGGAAUUCUGGAGCAGAGGCAGGUGGGCUGCCCCCUGGCCAACCACCCCUCGCAGGGCUGCAGUCUCCUGCCCAGGCUCCUGCACCCGCCGCCAGGCCCCAAACUCACUUGAUUAUCGCCGCCUCCAAGAGCUGGAGGCAGAGCAGGGCCACCACCAUCCACUUCAUGAUGUCGAUUCCCGACUGUCCACAGAGCGAGAGCUGCUCCGAGCUGGACACUUGCAGGUCUGGUCUAUCCUGUGCCUCUAUCCUUCAUCUCCAGGCCCUACCUGCUUCCCAGCUACACGCUUCUCAUUGCUUAGGGUGACCUGGAGCUGGCCCAGCGCAUUAACCUGGCACAGGAGAGCUUCCCACUUUUGGGUGAGUGGGAAAAAAGCUCCCAUGCCAGGUACCCUCUCUGCCACCUGGUACCCCGCACUCAGGGCUCCAAACAGAUUUGUGAGGCCCCUCAAGCCCUAGGCGGAAGGCCAAGACCAGGCCUGCCAACACCAGUGUUACCCAGCCAGUGGGGAUUUUCCACUCUGGCCACCACCAGCGCUGCCCAGCCAGAACCCUGGAGCCUCCCCUGGCCCUAUGAGUGGGGAGGGGAAGGAGGAAGACAUCAGAAAUCUGCCCAGGCCUGGCCUGGACGGGGAGGUAGCUGCCUGAUUGUGUCUCAAGGCCAGAUCAGCUCCCAUUCCUCCUUGUAGUUCCCAGGGACACAAUGGACUCUGGGAUUGAAUGCCUUCCCAGGGGCAGGGGAUCUGCAGACUUGGAAGUGAAGGCAAAAGAAAGUCAUAGGAUCCUUGGAAUCUCGCCACAUUCUCUGAAUAUAGCAGAGUGCACAGGAUCCCCCACAUCUUGCAAGGUCUACCAGGUACCCCAGCAUGGGCCCUUUCCUUAUCGGGUAGGACCCAGGGGUCUGACGGCUGCCAGGCCGAACUUGCCCCAAUCCCCAUGGCACCAUGUCCCUCCCAAGCAUCCCUGGUUUACUGCGUCAGGCCGGACAUCCUGCUUGUCUACUGGGCCUUGGGAGUCUGCAGCCCCUGCCGACCCAACCUGACCUGACAGCUCAGUCAGCCCCCUCAGCACCCCAGACAUUCCUAAUCCUAGUCUGCCCUGGACCGCCCCUCCACCGCUCAGCCCCCUUCCUGGAAAGCUCACUUCUUUCCCUUCUGCAUGUCCAAAUUCUGCCCAUCCUUCAGGGCCUCACCUCCUAGAGCCAGGGAUGUGCAGAGUCUGAGGACACCUUAGAAGUCAUCCAGUGCCACCCCUACCGAGGACAGGAGCCCCAGGAGGCAUGAUGCAUUAGUUCCCGUCCAAGUUCAUUUUCUUUUUUCAAAAGAUUUUAUUUAUUUUUAGAAGAAGGGAAGGCAGAUAAAGGGAGAGAAACAUCGACUAGUUGUGUCUCCUAUGCACCCUUACCGGGGACUGAACCUGCAACCCAGGCAUGCACCCUGACCUGUAAUUGAACCAGCGACUUUUUGCUUUGUGGGAUGACUCCCAGCCAACUGAGCCCCACCAAUCAGGACCCAAGUUUAUUUUCUACCCUUAAACACUGCACACCUAACUGUGCUGAGCCCUUGGGACCAGAUCUCAUGCUGUCUAGGAUCAGUCUCCACUUGUUUCCUGGGAGGCCCGUUAUUUUUCAGCCUCCAGCCCUUUACCCAUGCCGUGCUGGCCGUCUGGAACAACUUUCCCAAGUCUCUCCUCCUGCAAGACCUUCUCAUCCUUCGAGACCUGCCACAAAUGUCACAGAGUCUCUGUGCAAUGCCUGCCUACUCUCAAACUGACCCCAGCUGUGGAGGACACCGCUUUCCCUUCCCUUAUGGGAUUUAUUUCACACCAUCUUAUAUGCAGUGACUUGCCCCAAAUCCUACCACUUGUAAGUGAAGGGACAGGCCUCUCCUGCACAUGGCUCCGUGAGCAGCUCGUUCAUCUUUCAGAGUGUCUACAAAAGUGACAGUCAUUGCUGAGAAUGUCUCAAGAAGAGAUGGCAACUAUAUAGCAUGCACACUGCCACUGCCAACCCUUCGCCCAUGGCAGACAUCACUAAUCAAACCUAUCACUCUUUCCCGUAGUGCUGAGACAUGGCCUUAAGAUCCUUUUCACUCUGGUGCUCCAUGCAGAUAUUCGCAGUCAAUCUUGAAAUGACAUUCUCCAAGCCCUUUAAUGGAAAGUUUUU